UUCGCCCUUCGGGGUGCCCAGGCGCGAAAACUUUACAAUGCCGGCAACGGCGAUAAGGGAACCUCGAGUGCCAGGUUACAAAUCUGGCUGUCGUGAUGCCUAAAAAGCAUUGCAUAGCAAGGGCCGGGCAAGACCGGUGCCAGCCGCCGCGGUAACACCGGCGGCUCGAGUGGUAACCGUUAUUAUUGGGUCUAAAGGGUCUGUAGCCGGCCGGGUAAGUCUCUUGGGAAAUCUGGCAGCUUAACUGUCAGGCUUUCAGGAGAUACUGCCUGGCUCGAGGCCGGGAGAGGUGAGAGGUACUUCAGGGGUAGGGGUGAAAUCUUGUAAUCCUUGAAGGACCACCAGUGGCGAAGGCGUCUCACCAGAACGGACCUGACGGCAAGGGACGAAAGCUAGGGGCACGAACCGGAUUAGAUACCCGGGUAGUCCUAGCCGUAAACGAUACUCGCUAGGUGUCGGCCACGGUGCGACCGUGGUCGGUGCCGUAGGGAAGCCGUGAAGCGAGCCACCUGGGAAGUACGGCCGCAAGGCUGAAACUUAAAGGAAUUGGCGGGGGAGCAC
rnacentral:rRNA from 1 species